AGUAAGAUUAGUUUAAUGAUUCUUCUCAUCUUUACUAUCAGUCUUCCAAAGCUAGUGAUAAUUCCGGAAUUUCCGAGAGUUUUCCAACAAAAUAUUUUCCACGGAAAAUUAAAAAAAGUCAAUUGGAAAUUCGAAAGAAUACCAUACGUUUCCAUUUCUAUGCGUUUUUCAUGAAAACUCCAAUCAAAUUUUAUUGGAAAUUUUGAUGAAUUUCCCAUCAAAGCGAUGAAUAGUUUCCCGUGAAAAUUUGGAAGACCUUCCCGAAAAAAAUUGCUUAGAAUUUCUAGUGAGAAUGCCACAUCAUUUCCAGCUCAAAUAUUUGAAGAGCUUUCCUUGGGAAUUUUUCCUGAAAAAAAAAACGAAAACCUCCAGCCAAUGGAAAUUUCUAAAAAAUAUAUAUAUUCGCCAGACGAGACGCAAGUAAUCGAAGUGUGCCGUUCUCGCGAGUGGACGUGAUGUACUUUCGUCACGUCAUAUUUUUCAUUCUUCCGACCGGUCAAUGAAAAAAUGUCCGAACAUUUGUGUGUUUGUGUGACGAAAUUCCCGUGUUUAAUUUUUAUGUUCUUUUUAAAAAGUGUAUUACGAGAGUGUGAUUGAGAAGCUAUUUAUGUGCUGCAGAAAAAGGACGGACCCAGGAAGUUGUUCCAAUGAGUCCAACGCUCAAUAUGGGCGCAGUGGGGUUUUUGCCGAACCGAACAAUAAUUAGGCUACGAUUGCGGCAUCUGAUCCAAUAACAAAACUAGCGUACGGUACGGUACGGUACGCCAAAAAACACACCUCAUCUUUAAUUUCAAUAUUCGAUAGGUGAGGUCUGAGCCUUAAAAUAGUAUUGUUUGGUGCAAGUAAAAUGGAAAUUUCUUUCCAUUUUUUAACAGAAAAGCCGGAUUUUCUUUAUUUUUUGUUAUCCGCAAUGAGUCGGAAGGAGCACCAAAAAAAUGGCGCUCACCAGAACGCAACAUCCACAAUUAAACACCAGUCAGUAGUUCCGAAAGUGAAUUCAACACAGUUUGGACGAAGCAUUGCUGACUGAGGAUUGCGGUGGAAAGAAAUCCCGCGUUGGCACAUCUCUUUAGCGCUAUUAAGCCGGAUUCCAGAUUUGAACUUUAAUUUCAUUUCUAAAAAUUUCUUGGAUAAUCCGGAAGUUUGUUUAUGGACCUCUCAUCCAAUUGAUAAUGGUAGCAUAAACAGGCGAGGCUUCUUGUAAAUAAACGUGACCUCUGCUCUGACAUCUGGUCAUUUUUUGUGUGUGUCUUUAUUAAGGAGACUUUUAGCCCUAGGCUGGCUCGUCUCCGAGACUGGUCAUGAAAUACCGGAGACUGUCAAAUCCUGUGGUCACGCGAGUAACUUAUCAGUUGCGUCGGAUAGAUAGAUUAGCCUGUAUGUCAAAGGGUUUUCCGGGGAGAUUUCCCGGGAUUUGGCGACAACACCAGUUUCUGGCAUUUUAAACAAACUGGAAAAGUUUCCUUCGUCCAGACAUCAUUGUAGACAUCUUGACAUGUUACAAGAUCAGCAAAUAUCCCAUGUUUAAGUGCAGGUUUUUCCAAAUGUAUUCAACAUAAUGGCCUUCAAACUCUCCUGACUAAGAAUUUACUCCUGUAGGCAUGAAUUGCAGCCUAAGGAGUUUUUUGUGACACCGAUGUGUUAAUGUAUUGUUAAUACAUUGUCCAUAAAUAUAUUGUUUUACAAUUUGCGAAUAAUUAAUAUUAUUUCUAAACGGAUAAUUAAGUACGUAAGUCAAGUCGUGUUUCGGGAAUAAGCCUUAAACUAUAAUGUCCAAUGUCUCUAGAAAGCUCACUGUGGUGUGUUUUUGGUCCUAGCCAUCGUCCUGUAAUCAGUUUUCCUUGAAAUUAAGCAAAUAUCGUUAUAUCGCAAGGUAUGGUAACAAUUAUUUUUGCUUUCAAAAAGUAAAUGUUUUUGACUUCAAAAGGCGCAUAUUUUUAGAAAUUGUUAAAAGAAUUGCAAUAGCUAAUCUAACAUAGCCUAACCAAUUUGAAGAACUAGUAAACUAGGUUUCUAACCACCUGGUGUACAGAGGUUUGGCAAUUGGAAACAACCCUGGACUUAGCCAGCGACUUACCACUCAAUAUCUUCAUUUCGUCUGGUUGGCGUUCCUCGUUCUUCCGCAUUCUUCGGAGAAAUUUAAUUCGAAUGACUGAUUGGAAGGAUGAUCUUUAUAUAAACAACAAUAUGAUUUUUGCCGAAAUCUCAGCAGAAGUGACGUUUCGGUUGCUGAGAUGCGGUACCCGAUUUUGCCGAGCUCGAAAAAGAAAAACUUAGUGCGUAGCGUUUUUUUUUUUUGGUCUUUGGUCUUUGCCGCGUUGAUACAGAUCUUCCAAGGCGCUGUAGUCUUGGAUAUUCAAAACUACUGUUUUAAAUUUUUCCCGACGUUUCGACUCUUGUUUGAGUCUUCUUCUGUAGACUGUAAAUCUAUUUUUUCAUCUUGGAGCCGGAAGAGGAGUCGCUGCUGUCGCCGGAGUCCUUCGGCGCGCGCUCUCUCUUGGGCGUUUGUUUGCUCGUGUCCAUUUCUUGAUCCUCAUCGCUGAGGAUGUCGUAGACGGUGGAGUUCUUCUUCGACUUGACUUCGCGAUUUGAGGUUUGGCUUUGUCCGGUUGUUGACUCGGGUUCUUGAUCAUGUCUCGCAGCUUUUCAAUGGUGUUGUCCUUCACCGAGAUGGACUCCUGCAGCUUGGAGACCACUUGCGUUAGAGACGCCACUUUCUCCACAAGGUCUUCGAUGGUUCCGCU